rnacentral:lncRNA from 1 species
GCUGACUUCAAGAAUGAAGCCACGGACCUUCACGAGAAAUAUUACGUUGUAUGGAUGUACCACUGUUUGUUUAUCCAUUCUUCAGGUGAAGGACAUGUGGGUUGUGCCCAGCGCGGGCUGAAUAAAGCCAUCAUAAUGUGAAGAAGCCGAAGCAGCCUGUGAAGAGGCGCUAGUGGAAAGGAACUCAGGUGCCCCUGCCCUCAGUCCCAGCUGAACUCUCAGCUGACAGCCAUCACCAACUUGCCAGCCACAGGAGUGAGCCAACUUGAGAGUGGAUCUUUCAGUCCCAGUGGAGCCAUCUCAGCUGACACACCAUGGUAAAAAGAUGAACCAUCCUUGCUGAUCCUUGCCAGUGCUGCAGAUACAUAAGCAAAAUAAAUGUUUUUGUUG